AGGGAGCAAGAAGGAGCUGGAGGUCCCCUGUGCCCUGCAGAGGGAUGUGGGAAGCAGCUGGUAGUGCUGACUGGCAGGAUUGUGAGAGGCACUGAAUGGCUGAGAGCCAGAAGGAUGUCAUCCCAAGCCAGAGAGCAAAGAGGAGUCACAGCCAGAACUCAGCAGGAGCCAUGGUGUCAGGAGCAGCUGAACAAGGCCAAGCUGGAGGUAUCGCGGACAGUCACAGACCUGGGUUAGAGGUAUCACUGACUUCCAGUGACCAAGUGGACAAAAGACAUCACUAUGGAGACAAGAGGUACCAGGGGACAAUCCAUGGACCCAGGUUGUCUUGGAGGGGAACAGGGAGAGUAAUUAGGAAAUCUGAAUGUCUGAGACUUUUUUAAAAAGUG
rnacentral:lncRNA from 1 species